rnacentral:rRNA from 1 species
UACGUAGGGUGCAAGCGUUGUCCGGAAUUAUUGGGCGUAAAGAGCUCGUAGGCGGCUUGUUGCGUCUGCCGUGAAAAUUCACAGCUCAACUGUGGACGUGCGGUGGAUACGGGCAGGCUUGAGUUCGGUAGGGGAGACUGGAAUUCCUGGUGUAGCGGUGAAAUGCGCAGAUAUCUGGAGGAACACCGGUGGCGAAGGCGGCAUCCUGGACCACGACUGACGCUGAGUGAGCGAAAGCCAGGGGAGCAAACGGG